ensembl:lncRNA
UAGUUGGCAGAAGUCAGUCACCAGAGCAGGCCUCUGAAGGGUCUCCCCUUCUCGUCCUGGUCUGUUGUGAGUGGGAGAAGAAGGCAAGUGACAAGCAGUCAUGUUAGCAGGAAUACAGAAAACCGAAGAGUCGGGCAUAGCUGAACAGAUCCCCACAUCGAGUGCACACAACAUGUCAGCCUUCCUACCUGCUCCAGAGAACUAGUUCCAGACUCUCCCCAGGGAGUUUACUGUUAAAGAAGAGAUGAUGAAGAGUACAAAGUCCUCAGCUGUGGGAUACCUGGGAGACGGCUCAGAGAAGGUCGUUGCUGAAACCCAGUGAUCAGGAGCUUGUGCUUCUCGCCACGCCUCACCUCCCAGGGGCCCAUGAGUGCUCCUUUAUCCUCCCGGGGAUCUCAGUGGCCCACUGACACCCAGGAUGCUUCUAGGCCUUUCUUCCAUUCUAGGGAUGCAUCAAGUUGUUAUGGUCAUAGACACUUAAUGGAGCCAAGGAAGGGACUGCCUCACUUGUCCAUGCCACUGCUGCUACUCCUGGCCUCAGGGUGAAAUUCAGAUCUCCUCCAAUUCGUGAAAAUCAUGAAGUUGCAGAUUUUGAUCCAGAAGAUUUGGAGGAGACCUGAAACCUUAUGUUCCUAAACUGAUAACCUGAAUGACAGGUCAGGGUGACAUCAAAGACCAAGCUGAAAACCAGCCUCUCCAGACUCCCAAGGCCUUGCACACCUGCUCAGUCCUGCCUUUAGCAAUUCCUUGCACUUCCUCUUAGCAGCCUGGCACAGAACAAUUGGUCUAGAACACAGUCCGGCCUCUGACCUAUACAUUUCUCCCAGCAACUGUAUGGUCUUUCUCAAACCUCCAGGGUCAUAUAGGCUUCUAAACUGAGGUGUGAAAUUGCUCAUCUCAAUCAUUUUGCUUAACUCUGCUCUCCCUUCACCCACCAGGCUGGCUGGGUGAUCUGACCAACUGGGGUUUCCCCUGU